AAAUGUCGUAACAAGGUUUCCGUAGGUGAACCUGCGGAAGGAUCAUUAUUGAAUAAACUUAGUUAGGUUGUUGCUGGUUCUUUGGGACAUGUGCACACCUGACAAUGUUUUUUAACCACCUGUGCACUUUUUUCGUAGAUCUGGAAUAUCUUUUGAGGAAACUCAGUUUGAGGAUUGCUGUGUGAAAGCCAGCUUUCCUUGCAUUUCAGGUUUAUGUUUUAUAUAUACUCCAAUAGAAUGUGAUAGAAUGUCAUUUAAUAGGCCUUUUGAGCCUUUAAAAACAAAUACAA
rnacentral:misc_RNA from 1 species